AGAGUUUGAUCCUGGCUCAGAUUGAACGCUGGCGGCGUGCCUAACACAUGCAAGUCGAACGUGAAAGUUCCUUCGGGAGCGAGUAAAGUGGCGCACGGGUGAGUAACACGUGGAUAAUCUACCGGGAAGUUGGGGAUAACGACUGGAAACGGUCGCUAAUACCGAAUACGCUGUUCUAUUUGUUUAGGACAGGAAAGGAGGCCUCUGCAUAUGCUUCCGCUUUUCGAUGAGUCCGCGUCCCAUUAGCUGGUUGGCGGGGUAAAGGCCCACCAAGGCGACGAUGGGUAGCUGGUCUGAGAGGAUGAUCAGCCACACUGGGACUGGAACACGGCCCAGACUCCUACGGGAGGCAGCA
rnacentral:rRNA from 1 species